rnacentral:rRNA from 1 species
CCUACGGGUGGCAGCAGUGGGGAAUAUUGGACAAUGGGGGAAACCCUGAUCCAGCGACGCCGCGUGAGUGAAGAAGUAUUUCGGUACGUAAAGCUCUAUCAGUAGGAAAGCAAAUGACGGUACCUGACUAAGAAGCCCCAGCUACCUCCGUGCCUGCAGCAGCGGUAAAACGAAGGGGGCAAGCGUUAGCCGGAUUGAAUGGGGGUAAAGGGAGCGUAGACGGCAGCGCAAGUCUGGAGUGAAAGGGCGGGGCCCAACCCCGGAACUGCACAGGAAACUGUGAAGCUGGAGUGAAGGAGAGGUAAGCGGAAUUCCUGGUGUAGCGGUGAAAUGCGUAGAUAUCAGGAGGAACACCGGCGGCGAAGGCGGCUUACUGGACUGUAACUGACGUUGAGGCUCGAAGGCGUGGGGAGCGAACGGGAUUAGAUACCCCAGUAGUC